UACGGGGGGAGCAAGCGUUGUUCGGAUUUACUGGGUCGUAAAGAGCGUGUAGGCGGUCCGGUAAGUCAGCUGUGAAAGUCAAGGGCUCAACCCUUGAAUGCCGGUUGAUACUGUCGGGCUAGAGUCCGGAAGAGGCGAGUGGAAUUCCCGGUGUAGCGGUGAAAUGCGCAGAGUAUCAGGAGGAACACCGGUGGCGAAGGCGGGUCUCUGGGCAACAACUGACGCUGAGGAGCGAAAGCGUGGGGAGCGAACAGG
rnacentral:rRNA from 1 species